GAUGAACGCUGGCGGCGUGCCUAAUACAUGCAAGUCGAGCGAACGGACGAGAAGCUUGCUUCUCUGAUGUUAGCGGCGGACGGGUGAGUAAAACGUGGAUAACCUACCUAUAAGACUGGGAUAACUUCGGGAAACCGGAGCUAAUACCGGCUAAUAUUUUGAACCGCAUGGUUCAAAACUGAAAGACGGUCUUGCUGUCACUUAUAGAUGGAUCCGAGCUGCAUUAGCUAGUUGGUAAGGUAACGGCUUACCAAGGCAACGAUGCAUAGCCGACCUGAGAGGGUGAUCGGCCACACUGGAACUGAGACACGGUCCAGACUCCUACGGGAGGCAGCAGUAGGGAAUCUUCCGCAAUGGGCGAAAGCCUGACGGAGCAACGCCGCGUGAGUGAUGAAGGUCUUCGGAUCGUAAAACUCUGUUAUUAGGGAAGAACAUAUGUGUAAGUAACUGUGCACAUCUUGACGGUACCUAAUCAGAAAGCCACGGCUAACUACGUG
rnacentral:rRNA from 1 species